GACAGAGACGUGACCGAUCGCCCAAGCGGCUAACAAUCAGUGGCGAAGAGGAUAAAAGUAAAAGAGCUGGAGUUGUGUCUACCAGGAUCUUUACACUGUAGGUUAGGCUAAAAUAGGUUAAGUUAGGUUCAGUUAUGAUAUAUUAGAUUUAGUUAAGUUAGGUUAGGUUGGGUUAAUAGACGCGAGUGUAAAUAUACCAGAAGACCAACUCCAACCCAAUAGACCGAUACUAUAGUAGCACUGAAAUACGACUUUACAAUAAAAUAUCACAAAAAGUGACAGUUCGACUUCCUAAACCCUGUAAUGGACGAGUUGACGAUUCUGGGCAAACACAAGAAAUACACUCUGCCACGUUCGUAGAGUGAUACGGUAUAUAUAAUUUGUAUUAAAAGUUUAAAGUCCUGCUAUAAUAGUCGAGGUAAGUUUAUAUCUCUAGAAACAGGGCCGCCAUUUGCAAUGACGUCACUAGUUCCACACUCCCCGCUGACUGCAGGGAAGUAGUUGAAAGGAUGGCUUCUUCAGGCCCCAAGUGCCACGUUCAGUGUCUGUACAGUGAGCAGUAUAACUUAGAAAAUGUCUGGGAAGGCCAAGGCACCCAGGAAAACUGUGUCUCUGGAAGUGAAGCGUGACACUGAAGCAGCAGGAGACACCCCACCUUCAAGAGUUCUUAAUGAUAUGACGAGUGUUGUUUGUGUUGGAGGCAUAUUAUUAGGGAACGAUUUUUUUUUUCAGUGAUGCAUGUGGGUAUUCGACUGGCUGAGGAUGUAUCUCAUUGAACCCCACAUUAUAAUGCUCUUGAUUUAUGAUAUUUUGACCUGUGAUGGGCUUUUCAGGAACCUAACCACAUUGUAAAUAGGGGGACACCUGUAUUUAUGAAACUGAAGACAUUAUUAAGAAAUUAACAAAGCCAACUAUCAGAAAAGAUUAUUGUGUGUUUCCUGUUAUACUAAACCUUAUUUAUAGCUUACGGAAUUAAAAAUAUUCUACUGUAACAUAUUUUAUGUUUUUCUGGAACCAUUUGUUUCAUAUUUGCUACUUUAAAACACAUAUUUUGACCUCUAGUCCCAUUAGCCCCAUUUUGUGGGGGAAAUGGGCCCAGAUCUUACUUAGUGUCUUGUUCAUUUACUGUGAAAGAUAUUUUGAUUUCCUUUAUAUCAUGCACAGCUCCAGCACGAUCUUACUCAAUGUUGAUAUAAAACUCAGAAUUGUA